rnacentral:rRNA from 1 species
UCGAGCGGUAUUGUUUCUUCGGAAACGAGAGAGCGGCGCACGGGUGCGGAACACGUGUGCAACCUGCCUUUAUCUGGGGGAUAGCCUUUCGAAAGGAAGAUUAAUACCCCAUAAUAUUUUGAAUGGCAUCAUUUAAAAUUGAAAACUCCGGUGGAUAGAGAUGGGCACGCGCAAGAUUAGAUAGUUGGUAGGGUAACGGCCUACCAAGUCAGUGAUCUUUAGGGGGCCUGAGAGGGUGAUCCCCCACACUGGUACUGAGACACGGACCAGACUCCUACGGGAGGCAGCAGUGAGGAAUAUUGGACAAUGGGUGAGAGCCUGAUCCAGCCAUCCCGCGUGAAGGACGACGGCCCUAUGGGUUGUAAACUUCUUUUGUACAGGCAUAAACCUUUCCACGUGUGGAAAGCUGAAGGUACUGUACGAAUAAGCACCGGCUAACUCCGUG